GAGGAGAUGCUUCAUUUAACCCCGAGGUGACCCUAAGAGAAGGGCCAUAUAAGGAAGCUAAUUCCUUCAUGAAAUAUUCUUCUGAUGAGGCCGCUAUCAGGAACAAAAUGAAGAUGAUGUUUGAUUACCGUCGCAAGAUGGUCCUGGACAAAAACAGAUCAUCUGACGUCUUGACUGAAUUUCCUCGCUUCAGAGAUGUCAGAGGCGUGAUUGAUCAAGACUUCAUUCUGGAAUUUGGAGAAGAUGUAGCUUCCAGGUUUUUGGAGAGGUGGCCGACUGUUUUCAAGCAUAAAGUUAUCCAGCAGAGCAAGACUCUCCUACCUCAACUGACCUUGAAGAACUGAUCUACUGUGCUGAAUGAGCUUCAAGUGAGGAGGAACUGGAUGAGACCUUUACCUCUGGCUGGGACAGCGAUCUUGCUUCCAUCAUUCUCCUGCUCCACCUGUCUCCUCCUUCCUGUCUGGGCCACAAAAGACCUGGCAAGAUUUCUCCAUCCCAGGAUGAGAAGCACCAUGUGGUCUUCCAGAAGGUUUGUAAUAGUGGAACAAGCGUCCAGGAACAUGUUGAUGCCAUCAACUCCACUACGCAACCCUACCCACUUGCUGUUGGGACAAAGAAGAGCACCAUCCACGAGUUCUUCAUUGUUCUGGACAAGCAGGUCGUACCAUGCAAGUCAACCAGCUCACUUGGAGCUUUGAUGAACUUUUUAAGGUUUACUUCGUAAUUGGAACUGUUUAUAAUCAAAUGCUCCACAAUAUGUAUGUCUUGGAACUUGGAGAAUUAAAGGACAUUGCUGAAAUUGCUUCAGAACUUUGUAGUGAACUCUCUCUCUCCAUGUCAAGAAUGCUUAGUCGUGACUCCGCCACAAAGAUAUGGUGGGUGUGUUGGCUCAGGGAAGAGCAGGAUUGGGCCUUUCACGGACAUUUAGAUGAAAGAAGAGCAGGGGGAAGGAGAAACAAAGACAGAUCUAGGAGGAGGUGAGGGCAGCGUUGGAGGAAGAAAGAUCAAGUAGAGCAACCAGUUUGAGACAGCAGGGGGCUUGGAUGAGGUCA